rnacentral:rRNA from 1 species
GAUAAACGCUGGCGGCGUGCCUAACACAUGCAAGUCGAACGCCCUUUUGCGCAAGUGAGAGGGAGUGGCGGACGGGUGAGUACCACGUGGGUACCUACCUUGAGGUGAGGAAUACCACCGAGAAAUCGGUGACAAGACCGCAUACGCUCGGGCAACCGAGCAAAGUCAUGCAAAUGACGCCACAAGAUGAGCCUGCGCCUGAUUAGCUGGUUGGUGAGGUAACAGCUCACCAAGGCGACGAUCAGUAGCUGGUCUGAGAGGAUGAUCAGCCACACUGGGAUUGAGAACGGCCCAGACUCCGUACGGGGGCGGA